GUGAGUAACACGUGGGUAACCUACCUAUAAGACUGGAAUAACUCCGGGAAACCGGGGCUAAUGCCGGAUAACAUAUAGAACCGCAUGGUUCUAUAGUGAAAGAUGGUUUUGCUAUCACUUAUAGAUGGACCCGCGCCGUAUUAGCUAGUUGGUAAGGUAAUGGCUUACCAAGGCGACGAUACGUAGCCGACCUGAGAGGGUGAUCGGCCACACUGGAACUGAGACACGGUCCAGACUCCUACGGGAGGCAGCAGUAGGGAAUCUUCCGCAAUGGGCGAAAGCCUGACGGAGCAACGCCGCGUGAGUGAUGAAGGGUUUCGGCUCGUAAAACUCUGUUAUUAGGGAAGAACAUAUGUGUAAGUAACUGUGCACAUCUUGACGGUACCUAAUCAGAAAGCCACGGCUAACUACGUGCCAGCAGCCGCGGUAAUACGUAGGUGGCAAGCGUUAUCCGGAAUUAUUGGGCGUAAAGCGCGCGUAGGCGGUUUCUUAAGUCUGAUGUGAAAGCCCACGGCUCAACCGUGGAGGGUCAUUGGAAACUGGGAAACUUGAGUGCAGAAGAGGAAAGUGGAAUUCCAUGUGUAGCGGUGAAAUGCGCAGAGAUAUGGAGGAACACCAGUGGCGAAGGCGACUUUCUGGUCUGUAACUGACGCUGAUGUGCGAAAGCGU
rnacentral:rRNA from 1 species